rnacentral:rRNA from 1 species
AGUGUAGGCGGUUGGUCAAGUCGGAUGUGAAAGCUUCACCACUCAACGGGAAGACGUCAUCCGAAACUGGUCGGCUAGAGUAGGGUAGAGGCAAGCGGAAUUCCUGGUGUAGCGGUGGAAUGUGUAGAUAUCAGGAAGAACAUCGGUGGCGAAGGCGGCUUGCUGGGCCCUUACUGACGCUGAGACUCGAAAGCGUGGGGAGCAAACGG